CACUGCUUUCAGUAAUAGUGAUGAAUUGAAGGAUACCUGGGCAAAUCUUGUUCGGGAUGCUUUGGAGCAUGAAGAGAAAAAUGAAAAUGCUGAGUUCUGUGUGAAAGAAGUUCAGUAUAUUCAGGCGGAGGUAAAGCUUAUCAAGUGCCUCGUGGACAACAUUGUUGUUGAUAUCUCAUAUGAUCAAGUUGGUGGAUUGUGUACACUUUGUUUCCUUGAACAGGUUGACAACUUGAUCAAUCAAAACCAUUUAUUCAAGCGGAGUAUCAUAUUGGUAAAGGCAUGGUGUUUUUAUGAGAGUUGUAUUCUUGGAGCUCACCAUGGUCUUAUAUCUACUUACGCAUUGGAGACCCUGGUUCUGUACAUUUUUCACGUGUUCAACAACUGUUUUACUGGACCACUUGAGG